UAAUUUUCUAAUGCUCUUUCAAGCUGUGAUAAAAUUUUUGUUUAGGCUAGUUAAGAUCAAAAUUUUGGAAAAGUGGUAACCAUUUCCCGUUUGUAAUCUAAAAUGACUGAAAAUUGCAAAUUUCGCAAGGCUAUAUUAUCCGCAUUUUACAACAUUUCGCAACAAAACUUUGGAAUAUUACUAAUUUUGUGAUGUUCUUUCAUGCCAUGAUGAAAUUUUUGUCUAGACUUGUUGAGAUCAAAAUUUUGGUUAAUUGGGGAAUGGUCCAUUGGAUGAAAAAUUAGCAAAACUUUGUCUUAUUUUACGUGCAGGUGUUUCUACAAAUUUACGUGGUGUUUCUACAAACAAAAAGUAUUAUUUGUCUUACUUUGUCAGGUAGAGAUAAGUGAAUGCAUAAUUAGCCAAUUGUAUAUUAUUGUUAUUGUUGUUUUUGUUGUUAUUUUGUAUUUUAUUGUCUUAAAAUAUUUAAGGGAUAUGGCGAUAAAAGUUAAAUUUGUCUCAUUCGAUAGAACGUUUAAAAUUGUAGAUUAAAUCCUUUCACCGUUUUUCAUACUUUGCUUAUAGUUUUUGAAAUAUUUUGACUAGAAAUAAUAGGUUGUCCGCCAUCUUGGAUUGGUUUUGAUUUUAUUAACGAUUGUACGGAUUUUGUGACGUCGAAAGCAGGAUUAGCCACACAAACUUCUCAAUGAGAGCAAACAACAAGUAGCAGGCGGACAGCUUACUGAUUUCUGAUGAUUUUUGUCAUAAUAUUUCAAGAAUUAAGCAACAUUUGAAUAAGCUAAGUUGUACAAACGUUUUCCCAUGCAUGAUUUUAAAUGUUCUUUUCAAUUGGAAGUUUUUUUGGCAUAUCACUUUAAGCAUAGGUUUUGUGGGAUAUGUUUGCUUUUAAAUCAAGUCCAGUUUCACGUUUUUGUUUUUGUUUUUAAAUCCGUUUUGAGUCAAAAGUUAAAUUUUGAGUCCACGAGUUCAUGAGUCCACGCGUUCAUGAGUCCACGAGCCAACAAAUCCAGUCCUUGUUUUGUACCACACAAACAUACUGGCCGCGCUAAUGAAAGGGUCCAAUUGAUCUUGUGGAACGACCAAUCACAUUCGUUUUUUCAACUCAUGUGACUAUCUGGGACUUCUGGGUACGAUUGAUUGACAAAACGUCUGCAACACUGAAGACUACACUUAAUUCUUUUUGAGAAUUACAGCGUCCGUUGGUGAUUGUUUUCAGAAGCUUCUCAACGUGUUCCUGGAUUAAGCUUUGACAAGACAUCGAAGAUAAUAAAGUACGAAAGUGCAUUUUAUCAAGUGAGUAUAUAGGAUUGGUCCUU